UGUAUGUGUGUGUGUGUGUGUGUGUGUGUGUGUUUGUUUGUUUGUUUGUUUGUUUGUUUGUUUCUGUAAGGGGUCUAUAUUAUUCCGGGGAAGUUUCAUGUUUAGUUUGGAAAGUUUUUAUUUUAUUUUAGGUCCAGCGCGCGCGCCAGAUUGAGGAGACACCACGUGACUUGGGUUUAAAUAAAGAAAACUUAGUCUUUUAUUUCUCUUUAGGUCGGGAUGUUGAACAGACAACAUGUAUAGAGACGGAAUGUACACAAUGUAAUUUCUUUUGUCAUUGUAGGAAAUUGACAUUUUGAUCACAGUUCACCAGCAGUGCAUGUUUUGGAUUUAAUUGAACCGGUGGAACUUUAAUACACAUUUAACGAUUAUUUUCUUAAAAUGUACAUUUUUCAGCACCAGUUUGUAACACAGAUUAGUAUUUUAAUCUAGGAGCGGACAUUUUAUUGUAGCAUUUCACUGAGAUUUACGGACCUAGCAAGCAAUUUAUACGGCAUUGCAAUUUUUUUUCUCUAGGAAAAGUCUUGAGAGAUAUCUGCACCACGUUGUUUUAUGAACCUUAAGUACAUGUAUGCCCUGCUGACUGCAAAUUUUGGGGUCGAUUGGACUUGUAGUGUCCGAGUUCAACUGAUAACAAGGAUGUGGAUUUUUUUUUUCAGAAGAGAUGUAAGAACAAUAUUAAACUGUCAAUUGUUCUUGAACAAUUGAGAGGUCUUUCCUUUUGUAAUGUAAAAUACAUGUUCCAACAGACGUAGAAUGUAUUGAAAAGGUCAAAGUCAACC
rnacentral:lncRNA from 1 species